GAAAUAAAAUCUUAUUUGAUAAUUCGAUUAUUCGUGGCAUGGAUGCGUCAUAGUAAGCACAUUAAAAUGUAUAUGCUUCCAAUCUAAAAACAAAAGUAACGGUGCCGGCCGUAUAGUCUUCUGGCAAGGGUAGUAAAAACCGGUUCAGUACAAAAGCAAAAGUAAAAUCAUUAUCCGCUCAGCCCUUUCUCCUCUCACUUUCGAAGAAAACUGGUGAUCUCGUAUCGAAAUCAAGUAUCUAUUGGCUACAUUUCGUGCAGAACAUGCACUAUAUAUCUACCUUUAACACGAGAAAGGCAGAAAGUGGCAAAAGGUGUAAAACGAAAAUAGCCUCUCGAAAGAGUGCCUCGUGAGAGGAGAAGCAUUCAUGUCUGACAUAUAAAUCAACUGUAGAAUCGAAUCGAAUCGAAUUUCGUUUUACCUAUCACUAUAUAACUAAUUCCUAUCAACUUUCUUGUAUUAAAGAAUGAAAUAGAAUAAUUGCUAACAGAAUUAAUUGUCAACUAGGCUGCAUGAACUUAA
rnacentral:misc_RNA from 1 species